GUAGGAGCCGGCUUGCUGGCGAUUCAGGCAACGCGGUGCCUGACACACCGAGUGGUCUGAAUCGCCAGCAAGCCGGCUCCUAC
rnacentral:misc_RNA from 1 species